rnacentral:ncRNA from 1 species
CAAAGGCUUGGUCCUGACUUUUCUAUCAUCUUUAGCCUAACUUACACAUGCAAGUAUCCGCACCCCUGUGAGAAUGCCCCACAGUUUCCUGUUCGGAAACAAGGAGCCGGCAUCAGGCACAAUAGAAAUUAGCCCAAGACGCCUUGCUCAGCCACACCCUCAAGGGAAAUCAGCAGUGAUAAACAUUAAGCCAUAAGUGAAAACUUGACUUAGCCAAGGCUAAGAGGGCCGGUAAAACUCGUGCCAGCCACCGCGGUUAUACGAGAGGCCCAAGCUGAUAGACAUCGGCGUAAAGCGUGGUUAGGAGACCCAAACAAAUUAAAGUCGAAUGUUUUCAAGGCUGUUAUACGCAUCCGAAAACUAGAAGCACAACAACGAAGGUGACUUUACAACUUCUGAACCCACGAAAGCUAAGGCACAAACUGGGAUUAGAUACCCCACUAUGCCUAGCCUUAAACAUUGAUAGCAAAUUACAUUUCUAUCCGCCUGGGAACUACGAGCAUAAGCUUAAAACCCAAAGGACUUGGCGGUGCUUUAGAUCCACCUAGAGGAGCCUGUUCUAGAACCGAUAACCCCCGUUAAACCUCACCUUUCCUUGUUCUACCCGCCUAUAUACCACCGUCGUCAGCUUAUCCUGUGAAGGUUAACUAAUAAGCAAAAUUGGCACACCCCAAAACGUCAGGUCGAGGUGUAGCGUACGGAGAGGGAAGAAAUGGGCUACAUUCUCUAUUCUAGAGAACACGAACGAUAAACUGAAAGACAUAUCUGAAGGAGGAUUUAGUAGUAAGGGGGAAAUAGAGCGUCCUCCUGAAACUGGCCCUGAAGCGCGCACACACCGCCCGUCACUCUCCCCAAGCUUCCUAUAUUUAUUAAAUAAAACACUCUAUCUGCAAAGGGGAGGCAAGUCGUAACAUGGUAAGUGUACUGGAAGGUGCACUUGGAUAAAU